UACAGAGGGGGCGAGCGUUGUUCGGAAUUACUGGGCGUAAAGGGCGCGUAGGCGGCCUUCUAAGUCGAACGUGAAAUCCCCGGGCUCAACCCGGGAACUGCGUCCGAUACUGGGAGGCUUGAAUCCGGGAGAGGGAUGUGGAAUUCCAGGUGUAGCGGUGAAAUGCGUAGAUAUCUGGAGGAACACCGGUGGCGAAGGCGGCAUCCUGGACCGAGAUUGACGCUGAGGCGCGAAAGCCAGGGGAGCAAACGGG
rnacentral:rRNA from 1 species